rnacentral:sRNA from 1 species
AGUUGUAGCCCUUCUUGGGCGUUUCCUCCCUAGACUCGGGCCACUCCUUCGGGGGUGGCCUCUUUUGUUCUGAAG